CUUUUUGGAUGUAAUUUGUGUGGUUCUAAACUUGGAAGCCAACUUGGAUUGGAUAAACACUUAAAAGAUGGGUGUACAAAACAAGGAAAAGGCCGUAAGACUGAGUUUGCGGAGAUUCAAAAAUUACGGAACCCUGUCUCUAGUGCUUCCACCUCGCCACGCAACCCUUCUCCAUCAAAGAACCAUCUUCGAUUCGAAAUCACUAAUUUGUCUCGGAAAUUAAAAGAGAAGGAGGCAGAGAACCUAAUGCUGAAGAUGCGUUUGUCUUUAACCAAAGUAGAUGGUGUUAAGAAAUCCUUUCUCCCAAAACGGAAGCAAGUUGAAGAAGGGAACACUUGCCAAGCGAAGAGAUUCAGUUAUUCACAAUAACACAUUCUUGUCAUAUACAACCAAAAUUAUUAUUGCUUUACAAUAAACAAUUUAAUCUGAUUAAUA